GCCCGGAUGGCGGAAUUGGCAGACGCGCUGGACUCAAAAUCCAGUUCCCGCAAGGGAGUGUGGGUUCGACCCCUCUCCGGGCACCA
rnacentral:tRNA from 1 species